GUGUAUCUCGCUUAGAUGCUUAUAGACUUUUAACAGGAGGUGAACUCAGUGACGAUGUCAUCGAUGCAUUUGUUAUUCGACUUUGUUAUAAGAUUGAGACAACUAAUAGUUAUGAUCGAAAAAUACAUGUUACGAGACCUUGGCUUGCACAAGCAUUUCUGAAAGGAAAUAUUGAAAUGAUGGCAAAACGAAUGAAGGAAAAUGUUUCUCAGCAGAAGUUUUGUGAGUGUGAAA